UACAGAGGGGGCAAGCGUUAUUCGGAAUUAUUGGGCGUAAAGGGCGCGUAGGCGGCCUGGCAAGUGGAAGGUGAAAUUCCUCGGCUUAACCGAGGAACUGCCCUCCAAACUGCUUGGCUUGAGUCCGGGAGAGGUGAGUGGAAUUCCCAGUGUAGCGGUGAAAUGCGUAGAUAUCUGGAGGAACACCGGUGGCGAAGGCGGCAUCCUGGACCAACACUGACGCUGAGGAGCGAAAGCCAGGGGAGCAAACGGG
rnacentral:rRNA from 1 species